UCCCUGGUAGUAUAUCGGUUAGUACACGCGCCUGUCAUUGUCCUGGUUGAUUGCUAGUUAGCGCGCGAAAGCUGGGUUCGACUCCCAGCCAGGGAG